CAGGGAGUUGGACCAAGGCAACUCUAUAUAGGCUUUACAUCUUCUGCUUCUCUGAAGGACUUCAAAGACUUCAGAUGGAAUUUCAGCUGAGUUUGGUUGGCAACCAAUUCCUGCCCAAAAUUAUCUACUCCCGGAAAACGUCUGCACAUAUAAUGGACACACAAGCUGCAGCCACUGUUCCAGGCAGAGGAGUGUGUGUAUCACCCCAGGACUGGUCCUAAAAGGCAGUGGGACUCAGGGAGGAAGUGAUGUCCUCAGUCCUUCGCUGAACAAGAAGAGUAUCAUGGCGGCAGGAUCCUCAAGCAUUGUAUCCUCCUUGACAGCACCAUGAGCUCGGACGUGGAGGGGUUGAUCUUUGGAGAAUUGGUAUUUCCCUAACACCACCUUCUUUCCCAAACAGCAGCAUUAUCAAAUGACGCUUCCUCAAGACUCCAACAACUGAAGUGGUCCAAAUUCCUAAUAUAAGUCUAAUUCAUGGAAAUUUGAAUAUUUUCACCACCAUCUUUGGCUUAUUUUGCUUUUGAAGUGUAAAGAAACUCUGCAUCUGAUCCCUAUCUUUCUGGGCUGGUGCAAUUAAAGCUGAGAAGCUGUGGUUCAGUGCUUUUCCCCUGGUGUUUCUCUGAGGAUUUGGUAUGGUGAUGUCAGAGAAUGCCCUUCCUGGCAUACAGGAAAACUGGAAGAUUUAAUCAAUUCUCAAAAGAUGAGUUUACUUUGAAAACCAAAAAUAAAGUGGAAGGACAAAGAAGGUUUCUGCAAUAUGAUCUA